AGCGAACGCUGGCGGCAGGCCUAACACAUGCCAGUCGAACGAACCUUUCGGGGUUAGUGGCGGACGGGUGAGUAACACGUGGGAACGUGCCUUUAGGUUCGGAAUAACUCAGGGAAACUUGUGCUAAUACCGAAUGUGCCCUUCGGGGGAAAGAUUUAUCGCCUUUAGAGCGGCCCGCGUCUGAUUAGCUAGUUGGUUGAGGUAAUGGCUCACCAAGGCGACGAUCAGUAGCUGGUCUGAGAGGAUGAUCAGCCACAUUGGGACUGAGACACGGCCCAAAAUCCUACGGGAGGCAGCAGUGGGGAAUCUUGCGCAAUGGGCGAAAGCCUGACGCAGCCAUGCCGCGUGAAUGAUGAAGGUCUUAGGAUUGUAAAAUUCUUUCACCGGGGACGAUAAUGACGGUACCCGGAGAAGAAGCCCCGGCUAACUUCGUG
rnacentral:rRNA from 1 species